rnacentral:rRNA from 1 species
UACAGAGGUGGCAAGCGUUUGUUCGGAAUUACUGGGCGUAAAGGGCGCGUAGGCGGCUUCAUAAGUCUUGGGUGAAAGCCCUCGGCUCAACCGAGGAAUUGCCUUGGAUACUGUGAAGCUCGAGGCUGGAAGAGGGCAGUGGAAUUCCCGGUGUAGCGGUGAAAUGCGUAGAUAUCUGGAGGAACACCGGUGGCGAAGGCGGCAUCCUGGACCGAUACUGACGCUGAGGAGCGAAAGCCAGGGGAGCAAAGCGGG